CUUUCAAUUUUUUCUUCUUUCUUUUGCAGUUACUUAAACCUUUUUCUCUCAGAUCAUUCUUUCCCAAAAUUAUUAAAAAAAAAAAAAACCUUCUUUCCCAAUCUCUCUUCGAACCUGAAGUAUACACCUCUCCUUUCAAGAUCCGAUCAAUCCACUGCUUUUUCGAAGCUUGAUUGGAACAUUAACGGCAAAUACAACCGAAUACGCGAUGGGACAUGACAACGCUGAUGGUUCAGGAAUGCAAGAAUUGAUGCCGCGUAAGCUAAGAGGAGAAUAGAAAGUUCGGUCGAACACAUAUUUGAAGAUGUUUUGGGCGUUAUGGUCAGAUUUCGAACGACAACAAUGAUUAUUUGAAGGAUUUAUGCAAAGUGAGUGUGUGGAAGAGUGAAGCAACAAAGCAGACUUCCCAAAGAGUUCCAUGACCAAGUGAAGGAUACAAGAAGGAAAAUUUGUUCUAGACCAACUUAAAAGUUAUGCCAUUAAAACUUAGAGUUGCAUAAACUUUGGUAGAGCUAGAGGAAGAGCUAAGAGUUGCUUCUCUACAUGAUGAGAGGAGAUGGAUCUGCAUAAACUAAAUUGUUUGAGAGAAACUCUCAAAGAGGUGAGGAUAGCAGACAACAUAGCCAACAAUCUGAUGAUGAUAGUAUAUACAUGAAGUGGUUGGAGGCAUUAACAAGGGAAACAUAUUUGGAUUAGGAUCUCAAGCAGCCACUAUCAAAGAAUCGUUAAAGUUCAGUGAAGUUUAGUUUUAGUUAUUUUCUGUUAUGCAUUUUCGUUAAAUCAAUUAUAUGUAUUUUUUUGUGUUGGACAACUUAAAGUUUGAUAUUAUUAUGUAGUGUCAUAGUAGCGCAUUUGAUACUUUGUAAGAAUGACAUACAUUUUUAUGUUAAUUUGCAAAUUUGGUGUCGA